rnacentral:snRNA from 1 species
UGCUUGCUUCAGAAGCAAUAUACUAAAAUUGGAAUGAUACAGAGAAGAUUAGCAUGGCCACUGCGCAAGGAUGACACAAAUUUGUGAAGCAUUCCAAUUUUUU